AGAGUUUGAUCCUGGCUCAGGAUGAACGCUAGCGGCAGGCUUAACACAUGCAAGUCGAGGGGCAGCGGGGAGGAAGCUUGCUUUCUCCGCCGGCGACCGGCGCACGGGUGAGUAACACGUAUGCAACCUGCCCCUGUCAGGGGGACAACCCGCCGAAAGGCGGGCUAAACCCGCGUACAUGCCACCGGGGCAUCCCGGAGGCAGGAAAGGCUUCGGCCGGACAGGGAUGGGCAUGCGGCGCAUUAGGCAGUAGGCGGGGUAACGGCCCACCUAACCGACGAUGCGUAGGGGUUCUGAGAGGAAGGUCCCCCACACUGGUACUGAGACACGGACCAGACUCCUACGGGAGGCAGCAGUGAGGAAUAUUGGUCAAUGGGCGCGAGCCUGAACCAGCCAAGUCGCGUGAGGGAAGACGGUCCUAUGGAUUGUAAACCUCUUUUGUCGGGGAGCAAAAGACGUCACGUGUGGCGUUCCGAGAGUACCCGAAGAAAAAGCAUCGGCUAACUCCGUGCCAGCAGCCGCGGUAAUACGGAGGAUGCGAGCGUUAUCCGGAUUUAUUGGGUUUAAAGGGUGCGCAGGCGGAAGAUCAAGUCAGCGGUAAAAUUGAGAGGCUCAACCUCUUCGAGCCGUUGAAACUGGUUUUCUUGAGUGAGCGAGAAGUAUGCGGAAUGCGUGGUGCAGCGGUGAAAUGCAUAGAUAUCACGCAGAACUCCGAUUGCGAAGGCAGCAUACCGGCGCUCAACUGACGCUCAUGCACGAAAGCGUGGGUAUCGAACAGGAUUAGAUACCCUGGUAGUCCACGCAGUAAACGAUGAAUACUAACUGUCCGGGCCGAUUGAGGUCUGGGUGGUGCAGCGAAAGCGUUAAGUAUUCCACCUGGGGAGUACGCCGGCAACGGUGAAACUCAAAGGAAUUGACGGGGGCCCGCACAAGCGGAGGAACAUGUGGUUUAAUUCGAUGAUACGCGAGGAACCUUACCCGGGCUCAAACGACGGAUGGAUGUUUUUGAAAGAAGGCAGCCCUUCGGGGCAUCCGUCGAGGUGCUGCAUGGUUGUCGUCAGCUCGUGCCGUGAGGUGUCGGCUUAAGUGCCAUAACGAGCGCAACCCCCAUCGCCAGUUACCAGCAAGUAAAGUUGGGGACUCUGGCGAGACUGCCGGCGCAAGCUGUGAGGAAGGCGGGGAUGACGUCAAAUCAGCACGGCCCUUACGUCCGGGGCGACACACGUGUUACAAUGGCAGGUACAGAGAGAAGCGAUGCGGCGACGCAGAGCGGAACUUCAAAGCCUGUCUCAGUUCGGAUUGGAGUCUGCAACCCGACUCCAUGAAGCUGGAUUCGCUAGUAAUCGCGGAUCAGCACGCCGCGGUGAAUACGUUCCCGGGCCUUGCACACACCGCCCGUCA
rnacentral:rRNA from 1 species